AUUGGCCAACAUCUGAUUAUGAACAGAUUAGUCCUUAUAAUAAAGAUGAAUGUGUGUCAUCUUGCUUAAAGGACUGUCAAUGUUCUGCUGCGGUAUUGAGAGAUGACACCUGCUGGAAGAAGAAACUACCUCUCUCCUAUGGGAAAACGGACAGGGAUGAGACAGGGACAACUUUCAUCAAAAUUAGGAAAGUCCCUUCUGGAGGAAAGAAGAAAGUGGAUGUAUUAAUCCCGGUUGUAUCUGUACUCUUCGGCAGCUCUGCAUUAAUCAACUUGCUAUUAGUCAGCGCAUGUUGUCUAGGUUUCCUAGUUGUUAAUCGCAAAAAGUUCACGUGGCCUCACCAAGAGGAACAAGGUGUCUCAUAUAUGAAUUUGCGCUGCUUUACUUAUAAGGAGCUUGUAGAAGUCACUUGUGGAUUCAAGGAAGAACUCGGUAGAGGAGCCUUUGGCACUGUUUAUAAAGGGUUUGUGAAUAUGGGUUCUAGCAAUCAUGUUGCGGUGAAGAAGUUAAAUAGUGUAUUCCAAGACAGUGAAAAAGAAUUUAAAGCUGAAGUGAAUGGAAUCGGUCAGACACAUCAUAAGAAUCUGGUUAGACUUCUUGGGUACUGUGACGAGGGACAAAAUCGACUUCUAGUGUAUGAGUUCAUGAGCAAUGGCGCCUUGGCUAGUUUCCUCUUUGGAGACUCAAAGCCGAAUUGGAAACUGAGGACCGAAAUUGCCAUGGGAAUCGCUAGAGGUCUCUUUUAUCUUCAUGAGGAGUGCUGCACCCAGAUCAUCCAUUGUGAUAUAAAGCCUCAAAACAUACUUCUUGAUGAUUAUUACAACGCCCGGAUAUCUGAUUUUGGAUUGGCAAAGCUUUUGACGCUGGAUCAGAGCCAUACCAAUACUGCCAUCAGAGGAACUAAAGGAUAUGUUGCACCCGAAUGGUUCAGGAAUAUGCCAAUCACAGUAAAGGUUGAUGUGUACAGUUAUGGUGUGCUGCUUCUAGAAAUAAUUUGCCUGCGAAGAAGUAUAGAUAACAAAAUCAGCAAAGUGGAUAAAGCAAUCCUAACCGAUUGGGCUUAUGACUGCUAUCAGGAAAGAACACUUGGAGCUCUGGUUGAAAAUGACUUGGAGGCCAUGGACGACAUGACUGUGCUGCACAGGUUUGUGAUGGUUGCCAUUUGGUGCAUUCAAGAAGACCCGUCUCAUCGGCCCACCAUGAGGAGGGUUACACAAAUGCUUGAAGGAGUUGUUGAAGUACCUACUCCCCCAUGUCCAUGGACCCUAAACAUUACAAGCUGAAAGCGAGAAACACUUGCAAUUGCUUAAUCUCGUAUUUUCUUCAGUUCAAGCGAAGAAUUUCAGCCGUGGUUAUGUGUACUAAGUAGUAAAAGAGUUCAGUGAAUAAUGUAAUAUAGUUUCUAUGUUUCUCAAAAUUUACCGCAUUGACUUAGCUUUUAUAUAAGAUAUGCCUCUGGUUCCAAUAGAAAUUAUGUAGAAUUCUAAGUGAGAAGUCACGUGUUCAGAAAAUCUGAUCAAUAGCAAACUAUGUCAUGUUGUCUAUAAAUGCUGUUGAUAGUGGAAUGGAGAGUGCCAACUUACUGGUUAAAUGUGGUCAAGAUGCUUGGAUAAUUUGAACAAACUGUUUUAAUUUUGAAAGAAAAAUGUGAAAAGAAAUAUUAUGCCCCACUGGCACAUUGAUAAUAUUUGACUGUCAUUGAUAGUACCCCUCUGCAAAUAUCACUGGGUUCAGCAAGGAUAUGAAAUAGCAUUAUGGUGUUGCUAUAGGAAUUAAAAAAAAUGUAAAGCAUGACUAUAGGAAACAAUAUGAAUCUGCUAAACAGUUAAAUUGAUUAUUCCUUGAAAUGUUUUUUCUAAUUAAAUAUUUUGCAAAUUAUCUGAUCCGAAGAAUUACUUGAGUUCUUGUUAUACUGUUAAAUAUCUGAUGAAUUCCAUGUUCUAUUUUGGGUCAGAUUGUUAACAAACAUCUAUUUCUGUUCAGCUAAAGAUAUCUCCUGUUCAAGAUUUUGUAGCCCUUAAUUCCAAAAAAAAUAUUUUCUUGCCCUUUAUUCCAACUUUGAAACUUCUACGAAGGAAAACCGUUUUUGUUUUCCUUUGUUUCAAAACGCACAUAAUUCACUGCAUCUGUAGAGUUUGAGAGAUCAACAAAGACUAUAUGGACAAUUUAAAAUUUGUGCAGCAUGGUGGGAUUAGAAUUGAUUUUGCCUUCAACCAUUUGGAGAGAAUAGCGCAAGCUCGCCACGAAAUUGGGGAUGAAAGUUACAAGGACAACGCCCUUUACAAGUACCAUGAGGAGAAAGCUACGCUUUGUCUACAGAUUGAUGAACUACUGGCAAAAGCAGAGAAACAGAAGAAUGAGAUACACGAUUUUAUAACUACUAAAUAUGAUGAGGGAUUAAUAAGAACGACACUUCUCUUAAGUGAGGAUAUGGAAUUGAUUGCCAACAAUGCGGGGGCCAGCUUGCUGUGACACCAAGAAAUUAAGUGAUUCAGCGCAGAUACUAUGGUAACUUUUCGACAAGUUCUGUUAUUGCAUAUUUCUUUAAUUUUACUGUUGUAAGUAUGUUUAUUGUUUUAAGCAUUUCCAUGGCCACGCAUACAGCUGUGACAGAUGCAAAUUCUAUCUGGAUCAUGACUGCGUUUCACCGUGGCCUUCAGUAAAAUUAAAAGGGCCAUAUGCACAUCCUAAAUAGGCCGGUCGUUUGGCGACCCCAAAUGCAUAACAAAGAUAAAUCAAAAUGCAAACCUUAGUGUCGAGUAUUCAAAUCCAGAAACAAAGAAUAAAAACAGAACAAGUCAGCAAGAUUACGAGGUUCAGUCAUUCGCACGACCUACAUCACUGGGAGGAACAAUAGAGAGGUUGCCAUUGAUGAUUCAAGCUUAGAGAUACAUGGAUUUGUGCUUAGUAGGUAACGUACACUUUUAACAAUACAUGAGAAGUGAUGACGAUGACGUUCUUCAUUUGCCCUGCACUGCGGAAACUGUAAGUUUUAUCCCAUAGAUAUUUUUCAUUGAAUUUAAUUAAGAAUUAUUGGGUUCAAAAGUGAGGGAAAGUAAAAUAGAAAGACAGAAUAAACCCACGGAAAAGUUACUUGAGAUAUCGCCAAAACACAGAGACCCAAAAUUUCCCUUAACGAAAAGAGAUACCUCGAAUCGUAGUAAAAUUGUUGUUGUUUGGACUUUUGAUCAAUGCUUAAGUUUGGAUGUUUAAGACGAAAAGAAGUUUUGCACUUACUCCCAAAAUAAUGCAAAUAAUGAUAACAUGUGCCUCAAAAUGGCAAUAAUCCAUGAUAUAAUAUGAUACUAGUACAAUAAGUUUGUUCAAAUUGCUUGGUGUUCCUCAUUUUCCACUUAAUUUGUAGGGGUUUAGAUUCAAUGGACCACUCAAUUGCAAUUAAAUGAGCUAUUAAGUGUAGCUUUCACAUAUUUUCAUUUAUUGUCUCUCUUUAUUGAAGUCUUUGUUUUUACACCUAUCUAUAUGCACUAGCGGCUUAUUUAGGAUUGAAGUGAUGAUGUGCUUCACACAAUUUAGGAUAAGUUGGUGUAAUUAUGGUACAUCUAUUAAUAAUGCAUUUGAGUUUCUAAUGCAGUGACAUGGCAGAAGAUAUGAUAUUUCACAUCUAAUCCGAAGAGGAAACUCAACGCUUAUGAUCCAAUGAAUGAGAUAAAUUAUUUUAUUGAAUUUUGCGGUGAAUAUUAGAUAACUUUCUAAUCUAAGGAGUUUUUUUAUUAAAUUAAUAACUGAUUAAAAUAAUAAUGAGAACACUCAAUUUUAUGAAUAAGAUAAAUCUACUUUCUAAAAUCAACUCAAGCAGAAAAAGUUAAAUUACAAUUGAAAUAUAAGUCCUAAAAGCAUCCCUAAUUCGACUGUGGAAUAAAAUGACAAAUAUAAAAAUUCCAACAGUCAAUUCGCUUUGAAAAGUCAGAAUGAGUUCCUGGUGAUUUUUCUUUUUGAAUUUGGAGUUAUUCGUUUUCUUUAAAAAAAAAAAAAAAAAAAGAGGACAAAUUGGGCACUUCUCAGUUGAAUCGCUCUCCUCCACUAAUGUCUUGUCAUGAGUAUAUCUUCACUAAUUAUAAAAAACAAAUAAAUAAAAUCGGUAAACACGUGGUAAAAAUUUCGAGAAAGGGUUGCUUUAGAGGGUCUUCAAUUUUAAUACUUGCCAGUGCAAUCGCUCUCAUACACCAAUAUGCUUUUGAAUGAUCAAUUUUAAUUCAUUAAAUUUCUACCAUUUUCAAUCAACAAUGAAAUUAUAGAUCACUUAAAUAAAACUUGUCUUUUAUUCUUGCUUCCCUUUGCCAAUGACUCUAACAAUGAGCCCUCAAACUGCCACUCAUUAUGUCCAAUAUGCCCCUCGAGUUACCAUAUAGACCAAUAAAUUUUGCUUCCAUGGCCCUAAAAAAAUUGCUCAUGAUAUAAUCUCAAAUACAUCUAUUUAGUACAUGAUUGACGUGAUAUAAACAUAAAAUGAUUUUCAUUAGAUUUUUCAUUGCAUACCAAAAAAUAAUUUGUAAGCGUUUGUUUUUACAAUCUAGAUGUUCUUCCAUGGGAAAAUUUGGUCCACAAAGAAAUUAUAAGAGACCUGACAAGAAUUGCAACCUUGCUAGACGUAAAAGACUGCGUUGACUUCAUUUCAUCUCUUUAAUAUUUUAAUUCAAUUAAUCCAUCUUGGGUUAAUGCAUCAACCCUAUUGAAUUCUAGCUAUAGCAAUGGCUUUUCCGCUUCUUUUUUCACUUUCAUUUCUUCUUCAGCUGCUGCAACCAUUCUUAACUUUUGCUCAAACCCGUGGCAACAUAACCAUUGGAGCCUCUCUUUCUGCCUCACAAAACUCGUCUUCAUGGCUUUCUCCUAAUGGAGAUUUUGCCUUCGGUUUCCGCUCACUUGACAGCAACAAAGACCUUUUCUUGCUCUCCAUUUGGUAUGCUAAAAUCCCACAGAAGACUAUAGUUUGGUUUGCAAAUGGAGAUAGUCCUGCAGCUUCAGGAACAAAAGUUGAGCUCACUGCUGACCGAGGCCUUGUGCUUACUAGCCCUCAAGGUCAAGAAUUGUGGAAAUCCGAUCCUGUUAUAGGCACUGUUGCUUAUGGCUUGAUGAAUGAUACAGGCAACUUUGUUCUGCUCAGUGACAGUACAAAUAAGCUAUGGGAGAGCUUCAAGAAUGCCACUGACACCAUGCUGCCUUCACAAAUAUUUGAAAAGGGACAGUUUCUUUCUUCCAAACAAUCAGAUGGCAAUUUUUCCAAGGGAAGGUUUCGAUUCGAACUGGAUUCAGAUGGGAAUCUUGUGCUUACUACAGUAAACUUACCUUCUGAUUAUACUAACGAGCCUUAUUAUCAGAGCAAGACUAAUGGUUCUAGCAAUCAGCUUGUGUUCAAUCAGUCAGGGUACAUGUACAUAUUGCAAGAUAAUGAUCAAAGAUUUGCUCUAACAAGAAGAGUUGAAACAUCAGCUUCCAACUUUUAUUACAGAGCAACAAUCAAUUUUGAUGGGGUUUUUACUCAGUAUCAGCACCCGAAAAAUUCCACUGGAAAUGAAGGCUGGACAGCGUUUUGGUCAUUGCCAGAUGAUAUUUGUAAAGCAAGUUUUGUUUCAUCUGGCAGUGGCACUUGCGGAUUUAACAGUGUUUGCAGACUAACUACUGAUAGAAGGCCAAUCUGUGAGUGUCCAGGAGGGUAUACUUUGAUUGAUCCGAAUGAUAAAUAUGGCAGCUGCAAGCCAAACUACACUCAGAGCUGUGUUGAUGAUGACGAACCCGGUUCUCCCGAAGAUUUAUAUGAUUUUGAAGUGAUUACGAACACGGAUUGGCCUCUAUCUGAUUAUCAACUCUUGACUCCUUUCACAGAAGAGGGGUGUAGGCAAUCUUGCUUGCAUGACUGUAUGUGUGCCGUUGCAAUUUUUCGAAGUGGAGAUAUGUGUUGGAAGAAGAAGCUACCUCUAUCAAAUGGGCGAUUUGAUGCCAACCUUAACGGCAAAGCUCUUAUCAAAAUCAGGAAAGGUAAUCUGCCUCCAACAAGUCCUGAUUUCCCAAGACCUAACGUAAAGAAUAAUCAGAAGAAAGAUCAAGAGAAUUUGAUCAUUUUGGGAUCAGUACUUUUGGGUGGAUCUGUUUUUUUCAAUUGCUUGUUGGUUGGAGCUCUUUGUCUUUGCUUUUUCUUUGUUUACAACAAGAAAAACAGUCAAGUUCCUUCUCAUGAUGGUGUUGUGGAAACAAACUUGCAUUGUUUUACUUACAAAGAUCUGGAAGCAGCUACAAAUGGGUUCAAGGAAGAGCUAGGAAAAGGAGCUUUUGGGGUUGUGUACAAAGGAGCAAUUGGUAUGGCUUCUAUGUAUCAGGUUCCAGUUGCAGUAAAGAAAUUGCAUAGUUUUAUCCAAGAUGGUGUGAAAGAAUUCAAAACAGAAGUAAACGUUAUCGGCCAAACUCAUCACAAGAAUCUUGUUAGACUGCUCGGAUUUUGUGAUGAUGGACUGAAUAGGUUGCUGGUAUAUGAGUUCUUGAGCAACGGCACUUUAGCUAGCUUUCUCUUUGGUGACUUGAAACCUGGAUGGAGCCGGAGAACAGACAUUGCUUUUGGGAUUGCAAGAGGACUUUUGUAUCUACAUGAAGAAUGCAGCACGCAGAUUAUCCAUUGUGAUAUCAAGCCUCAGAAUAUCUUGCUUGAUGAUUACUACAAUGCUCGAAUUUCAGACUUCGGAUUGGCAAAGCUUCUGCUGCUUGAUCAGAGUCAAACAUAUACUGCUAUUAGAGGAACAAAAGGGUAUGUUGCACCAGAAUGGUUUAGGAACAUGCCCAUCACAAUGAAAGUGGAUGUGUACAGCUUUGGUGUUUUACUGCUAGAGAUCAUUUGCUGCAGAAGAAAUGUAGAUAUGGAAGUGAAUGAAGCAGAAGCACUCUUGACAGAUUGGGCUUAUGACUGUUACUGCGAAGGAAUAAUAGAACCCCUGGUGGAAUUUGAUAUAGAGGCCUUGAAUGACAAGAAAAACGUGGCAAGAUUUGUGAUGGUUGCCAUCUGGUGCAUUCAAGAAGAUCCUUCUCUUCGGCCAACAAUGAGGAAGGUUACUCAGAUGCUUGAAGGGGUUGUUGAAGUGCUUGAUCCACCAUGUCCAUGUCCAUUUACUGUUGCCAACUGAAAGCAGCUUAAGGAGUUGCUUUUAAUCAGCAGCAACUGAUGUUCUAAUAAUUUAAUUUGCUCUGCCUUCCUUUGAAUGAGCAAAUUGUUUACUCAUCGUGGUAUUAUCUAAAUUAGAUUAUUGUGCUGUGGUGUUUCUUGUUAUUAAUCUAAUUCCUGCAGAGAGUUGUCUGUAAUUAAAUACAGCGUAGUUGUUAAAUUAUCAGAAAUUUGCAGGAUCAAUCAAAGUUAAUUAUAAUCAGACUUCUCAUAAUCUGGAGGCUGAUAGGUAUAUCCAUCAUUGAACUUGCACUUUGAUCAUAAUUUCCAGGCAGAGAAAUCAAAUUUUGAGGGAUGGAAUAUUGGAGAUCAAGGUGUUAUGACUUUUAAUCUAUACCUUACAUGUGAACUGAAAUCGCUACUUAAAAAAGUAGGAGGGUUGAUGAGUAAAAAUACUACAAAUGAAAGUUAAAAGUCUUUACGGUACGUUUUAGCCUCACUAGCUUUAAAGUUAACAACUGAAAAAAUACCCUUCUUAUACAGCUCAUAAUCUUUUCCCGUCAUGCAAAUACCUGGUCAAUAAAGUUGACAGCAUUUUUUCCCCCUAUUUCUGAAUGGUAAGACUUGGUUCCACUACCCGUAAGCUGGGUUGAUGAAGACUGUUUCAAGUCUUCAAGUCAACUUGGAAAAUGUUGUUGGUGCAUUUAUUUCUUGUUGCUAGUCACCAGCUUGCCUCCCUCACCAUUCUAAUUUCAAUAUCUGCAGCAACUUCUUCACUGCAUUUUUGUAAUACACAGUGUUUUGGCCACGGCAUAUCAAGUCUUGCAUGCACAUAACCUUCCUCAGAAUUUAUCAAAUCACCAUACAAGACCAAGAAAUUUAAAAAGUCAAUAUCACAUCGUAAUUUUUCUUUUCUUUUUUUUUAAUUAAUGGUAAUAUAAUUCGACUGUCCCACCAAAUGUGCAAGAACAUUAAUAUGUCCAAUUGCAGCGAACGCCUUUGCUUACGCGCUUUGAAUAUUCAACCCCUUUACAUUUUCAAUAAUCUGUCCCACUUUUUAUCUUCUCCACAUGAAAAAUAUAUUAUCUGAAUAAUCCGCUCUUCCAAUUUCAUGUACUCAAAACAAUUUCAGUAAUUUCAGUAAUGGCUUUUCAUCUUCUAUCCCUUCUUUUCUUGCUUCUGCUGCCGUGUCUAACAGCCGCACAAAGUAACGGAAACAUAAGUAUAGGUCAGCAACUCACUGCAGCUGAGAGCACGGAACCAUGGCUUUCCCCUUCUAAGGAUUUCGCUUUAGGGUUUCACCAACUAGACAGUAAGGAUCUCUUCUUGCCUGCCAUAUGGUAUUACAAGAUACCGAGUAAAACCAUAGUUUGGUAUGCAUCGGCAGUCAAUCCUGCGCCAAGAGGAUCAAAACUACGGCUGACUGCUAAUAGGGGGCUGGUACUUGAGGACCCCGAAGGCCAGGAGAUAUGGAAAUCUGAAAUCAGUACGGGACAAGCAGCUUUUGGUGUUCUUUAUGAUACUGGCAACUUUCUGAUCGUAAAUACAAAUUCUGAGAGGUUAUGGCAGAGCUUUGAUCAUCCUACUGAUACCUUGCUUCCUACGCAGACAAUGGAACGGGGUGGGGUCGUAUCUUCCAGACGAAAGGACACUGAUUUCUCUCGAGGAAGGUUCCAAUUCCGUCUAUUGGAGGAUGGAAAUGCAGUGCUUAAUACCAUAAACUUGGAAAGCGGCUUUGCAUAUGAUGCCUAUUUUUGGAGUAACACGUUUGAUACUAACAGAUCGAAUGCUGGUUAUCGAGUAGUCUUCAAUGAGUCAGGCCAAUUGUAUGUUUUGAGAGAAAAUAAACAGAGAGCCAGUCUUGUACCAGAAACAGUCUCAGUAAAAGAAAAUUACCUCAGAGCAACUCUAAACUUUGAUGGUGUUUUUAUCUUCUACUCUCACCCAAGAAUAAUAGCACUGGAGACGCUAUCUGGUCAGUCAGUGAUGUCUUGCCGGAGAAUAUUUGCAUUAACAAUGAUAUCCGUAAAGGAUUAGGCAGUGGAAUCUGUGGAUUUAACAGCAUCUGCAGUAUCAGUGGAGCCAAAAGACCAAUCUGCCAAUGCCCAAAAGGGUUUUCUUUACUAGAUCCAGAUGAUGUCUACGGAAGCUGCAAACCGGACUUCAUUCUAGGCUGUGAAGAAGAUGGGAAGAAAUCUGGAGAAGAUCUAUAUUAUAUUGAAGAGCUAGGGAACACUGAUUGGCCAACAUCUGAUUAUGAACAGAUUAGUCCUUAUAGUAAAGAUGAAUGUGUGUCAUCUUGCUUAAAGGACUGUCAAUGUUCUGCUGCCGUAUUGAGAGAUGACACCUGCUGGAAGAAGAAACUACCUCUCUCCUAUGGGAAAACGGACAGGGAUGAGACAGGGACAACUUUCAUCAAAAUUAGGAAAGUCCCUUCUGGAGGAAAGAAGAAAGUGG
rnacentral:lncRNA from 1 species